rnacentral:rRNA from 1 species
GUAGGUGGCAAGCGUUGUCCGGAAUUAUUGGGCGUAAAGCGCGCGCAGGCGGUUCUUUAAGUCUGAUGUGAAAGCCCACGGCUCAACCGUGGAGGGUCAUUGGAAACUGGAGAACUUGAGUACAGAAGAGGAAGCGGAAUUCCACGUGUAGCGGUGAAAUGCGUAGAGAUGUGGAGGAACACCAGUGGCGAAGGCGGCUUUCUGGUCUGUAACUGACGCUGAGGCGCGAAAGCGUGGGGAGCAAACAGGGAUUAGAUACCCUGGUAGUCCACGCCGUAAACGAUGAGUGCUAAGUGUUAGGGGGUUUCCGCCCCCUUAGUGCUGCAGCUAACGCAUUAAGCACUCCGCCUGGGGAGUACGGCCGCAAGGCUG